AUACAUGCAGUCGACGCUUCUUUUCCCACCGGAGCUUGCUCCACCGGGAAAAGAGGAGUGGCGAACGGGUGAGUAACACGUGGGUAACCUGCCCAUCAGAAGGGGAUAACACUUGGAAACAGGUGCUAAUACCGUAUAACAAUCGAAACCGCAUGGUUUCGUUUUGAAAGGCGCUUUACGGUGCCGCUGAUGGAUGGACCCGCGGUGCAUUAGCUAGUUGGUGAGGUAACGGCUCACCAAGGCCACGAUGCAUAGCCGACCUGAGAGGGUGAUCGGCCACAUUGGGACUGAGACACGGCCCAAACUCCUACGGGAGGCAGCAGUAGGGAAUCUUCGGCAAUGGACGAAAGUCUGACCGAGCAACGCCGCGUGAGUGAAGAAGGUUUUCGGAUCGUAAAACUCUGUUGUUAGAGAAGAACAAGGGUGAGAGUAACUGUUCACCCCUUGACGGUAUCUAACCAGAAAGCCACGGCUAACUACGUGCCAGCAGCCGCGGUAAUACGUAGGUGGCAAGCGUUGUCCGGAUUUAUUGGGCGUAAAGCGAGCGCAGGCGGUUUCUUAAGUCUGAUGUGAAAGCCCCCGGCUCAACCGGGGAGGGUCAUUGGAAACUGGGAGACUUGAGUGCAGAAGAGGAGAGUGGAAUUCCAUGUGUAGCGGUGAAAUGCGUAGAUAUAUGGAGGAACACCAGUGGCGAAGGCGGCUCUCUGGUCUGUAACUGACGCUGAGGCUCGAAAGCGUGGGGAGCAAACAGGAUUAGAUACCCUGGUAGUCCACGCCGUAAACGAUGAGUGCUAAGUGUUGGAGGGUUUCCGCCCUUCAGUGCUGCAGCUAACGCAUUAAGCACUCCGCCUGGGGAGUACGACCGCAAGGUUGAAACUCAAAGGAAUUGACGGGGGCCCGCACAAGCGGUGGAGCAUGUGGUUUAAUUCGAAGCAACGCGAAGAACCUUACCAGGUCUUGACAUCCUUUGACCACUCUAGAGAUAGAGCUUCCCCUUCGGGGGCAAAGUGACAGGUGGUGCAUGGUUGUCGUCAGCUCGUGUCGUGAGAUGUUGGGUUAAGUCCCGCAACGAGCGCAACCCUUAUUGUUAGUUGCCAUCAUUUAGUUGGGCACUCUAGCAAGACUGCCGGUGACAAACCGGAGGAAGGUGGGGAUGACGUCAAAUCAUCAUGCCCCUUAUGACCUGGGCUACACACGUGCUACAAUGGGAAGUACAACGAGUCGCGAAGUCGCGAGGCUAAGCUAAUCUCUUAAAGCUUCUCUCAGUUCGGAUUGUAGGCUGCAACUCGCCUACAUGAAGCCGGAAUCGCUAGUAAUCGCGGAUCAGCACGCCGCGGUGAAUACGUUCCCGGGCCUUGUACACACCGCCCGUCACACCACGAGAGUUUGUAACACCCGAAGUCGGUGAGGUAACCUUUUGGAGCCAGCCGC
rnacentral:rRNA from 1 species